UUGGGGGUUUACAAUUUCAUCUUAUCCACUCUCUCUUAUUUACUCCUCUAGAAUUAUUAGCUUGAUUAAUUAAUUGUCAUGCAACUUUCUUAACCUACCCUUAACCCGAUCCCUCGGCGAAAAGAGCCUAAUACUAAUUACUGGCUUGCUAUCCCUAGCCUCCCCUAGCAAUUAAUACAGCAUUAUAGAGCAGAAGUUAAAAGCAAUUGAUCGUCCUACCCCUAUCCCUAGGUG
rnacentral:lncRNA from 1 species